rnacentral:tRNA from 1 species
UGCGGUUGUGGUGAAAUUGGCAGACACGCCGGAUUUAGGUUCCGGUGCCGUAUGGCAUAUGGGUUCAAGUCCCUUCAGCCGCAU